AUGGGGCUCUUCUCCGGCAGCAGCAGCAAGCCGAAGGGCAAGGUUCCCGUCGUCCCCUUCCCCAUGGAGUUCACCCCGCCUCCGCCUGCGCCUGCUUGCCGGCAAAGGCAGCGGGUGAACGUGCCCGUGCACCAGGCGGAGUGGCACUGGCACCACUGCGUGCUGCUGCCGUACCCCGACGUGACGCUGCCGCACGACUGGCAUCUGAAUCCGGAAAGGAUCCCAGUGUCGGCGGCGCCGCGGUCGGCUAGGGAGCAUGCGGAGGAGGUGCAUCGCCGGCAGGCGCUCCUGACGCGGGAGCAGCGCCGCGAUGAGGCGUACGCCUUCGACUCGCUCAACUGGGCGCGCUGGUUCGCCUACCAGGCGGCCCUUGCGGCCGUCUACCGGGAGAGCGAGGAGGACGAGCGGCGCAAGGCGGAGGCGGCAGAAGAAUAA
rnacentral:rRNA from 1 species